UACGAAGGGGGCUAGCGUUGUUCGGAAUUACUGGGCGUAAAGCGCACGUAGGCGGACUCUUAAGUCAGGGGUGAAAUCCCGGGGCUCAACCUCGGAAUUGCCUUUGAUACUGUGAGUCUUGAGACCGGAAGAGGUGAGUGGAAUUCCUAGUGUAGAGGUGAAAUUCGUAGAUAUUAGGAAGAACACCAGUGGCGAAGGCGGCUCACUGGUCCGGUUCUGACGCUGAGGUGCGAAAGCGUGGGGAGCAAACAGG
rnacentral:rRNA from 1 species